rnacentral:antisense_RNA from 1 species
CUUCAGGGAUCCCAGCAGGAGCGGCCGGUCCGCCGGCCGGCCCUGGCCGUACGUCGCCAGCAGCGCCUGCGCCUC